rnacentral:rRNA from 1 species
GGGCGCAAGCCUGAUGCAGCGACGCCGCGUGAGGGAUGGAGGCCUUCGGGUUGUAAACCUCUUUUAUCGGGGAGCAAGCGUGAGUGAGUUUACCCGUUGAAUAAGCACCGGCUAACUACGUGCCAGCAGCCGCGGUAAUACGUAGGGUGCAAGCGUUAUCCGGAAUUAUUGGGCGUAAAGGGCUCGUAGGCGGUUCGUCGCGUCCGGUGUGAAAGUCCAUCGCUUAACGGUGGAUCCGCGCCGGGUACGGGCGGGCUUGAGUGCGGUAGGGGAGACUGGAAUUCCCGGUGUAACGGUGGAAUGCGUAGAUAUCGGGAAGAACACC